AGCUUAGGGGGAAAGUUCUAUCUAUAAUUAGCUGCCGCUGAACUUGAUGUUUGGUAAAUAAUUUCCCGAGGUAACUUAAUUAGUUCUUAUUUCUUUUCUUUCUUCUUUUUCCUUUAGACUGGAGUGUAUGCUGAAUUUAAUAUCAUAGUAGGACUUGAUGUGCGCGUAUUACUGCAGGCAUGUAUCCUAGUUAAAAUGAUGCUGUGAGGUCUUUUCCCCAGCAUUAUCAUUUCUUGGGACUCCUCUGCAGCUAAAGAAGAGAUUGAGAUGUCCACAUUUAAGGGCUGCAACUUAAUUAAGAAAGAGCUGUGUAAGCCCUGUAACAGCAAAAGCUUUCUUAAUUUUAAGGGCUGCCAUAUAUAUCCUUUGGCUGUGUAAAUUAUCCUUUGGCUCUUUCUUAAUUUUAAGGGCUGCCAUAUAUAGUGAGAUCUAUUUAUAUAUAUCUAGUCUUCUGCAACUUGAUGCACUGCGGAUAUAUCAGUCGGUACGUCAACAGAUAAUUUAAGGACAAUUCAAAUACAAGACAUUGGCGCAACUUUGAAUAGUGCAUUUUAUUUGAUUAUUCACUUUUAUUCGUUGCCCUAAUAUGCUACUCUUGUCAAUGGAUGUCCCUAUUAUUUCCAACUUUUUUGUUAAAUCUUGUCAUCUACGAUGCACAAAAGUACUAAUCUUUAUCUUCUUUUUGUUCUUACGCAUCUUGUAGGGUCACUACAAGGCAAAAUGAUCCUGCCAAUAUUAGGCUUUUGCUGUGGUUGAAUGGAAGUCCAGGAGU
rnacentral:lncRNA from 1 species